GAAUGGAUUGCCUGCAGUUUUACAUUAUUGCUUUAGAAGAAAUACAGCGAAGAUUGCCCCUUGGAACAGGUAUAUUUACAGAAAUAGAGUUUUUAAGUCCCGAAAUUGCAAUGGGGGUAAAAGGAAACCAAAAUGAUUUCACAUUUAAAAAUAUUUGCAGCAGAUUUAAAGUAGAUGCUUACGCUCUGCUACAAGAGUGGAGAACUUUUGAGUUUAAUUUUAAGAGCGAUGAAAAAGAUAAUCUUUUAAAGAUGGGCACUGAAGAGUUUUGGAGCAAUAUCACUAAAAUGAAAAACUUUAAUGACAAUUUUCUUUUUCCUACUAUAUCAAAAUUAGCCAAGUUUUUUUAACGCUACCACAUGCCAAUGCAGAUUCCGAAAGAAUUUUUUCUAUAGUUACAGAUGUUCGUACGAAAAAAAGAAAUAAGUUAAGCCAUGCAAAUUUAACUUAAAUUUAACCGCUCUUUUUGCAAGACGAAAAUCUAAAUUGUUGCAUUUUUCAGUGCAAGGAAUCGCAUCUAAAAAAAUGACAGCGUCUGAACUCUACGACCAUCAUUAAUAUUUUUUUUUGCACUGUGGUUACAUCAUGCUUAAAGUAUAUGUUUACGUGUUUUUUGUUUGUUUAGUUUUUUUUAACCAAAUAAAUUAAUGUCGCCUUAGUUAAACAUCCAUUUGAUUGGAUCAUUCUUGUUGUACCUAUGCUAGUCUAAUUUAAAACAUGAAAUGUAUUUAAAUGAAAUGAUUUUUUUUCUUUAUUUAUUUGUAUAUAUAUAUAUAUGUAUGUGUACACAUACAAGGCAAUGGUGCACAUAUUAUAUUUUUAUGUAUUAUGCCUGGUUUUCACUAGGUCAAAAUAAUUGACAUCAAAAACUGCCUAAACGAACAGCUGUGCUUUUGGUGGCAAAUGCGUUUUCAUUACAACAUCCAAACUGACCGAAUGUCGAUACUGCAGUGCCUUUCAAAAACUGUCGUCAAUUUUUGGUGUCAGAUGAUUGACCACCUGUUUUCAUUUAUGUCAAUUGUGAACAGGCAAUUGUGAACAGGCAAUUUUGACAGCUGUUAAAUUGAAGAUAUAAUUAUUUUUAAAUAAGUGCGUGAAAGUUUAAAAAUGAAUAAAAAUAGAAAAAUUACAAUAGUAACUGCGGCGUUAUGUCUUAUAACGUCAUUAAAAGCUUGGAAAAAGAAAAGGACUCAGCAAAGGAAACCAAAGCAGUGGUGGAUUAGACCAGGAUUAAGGAAUCGUUGCACCAGUGGAUUUUACUCCACACUUCGAUCCAAGCUGGUUUCUCAGGACCCAAAGUGGUUGAAGAACUUCCUGAGGAUGACUCUGGAAGAUUUCGAUUUUUUAGUGGAGCGUCUUACUCCAUAUAUUUACAAAAGAAACACACGACUCCGUGAAGCGAUCUCGGUCGGUGAAAGACUGGCGGUAACACUACGCUAUUUAGCCACAGGUGAUAACUUCUCGAGUUUGAUGAGUGUUUUUCUAUUGGGGAAAACUACCAUCUGCCAUAUAGUGCAUAACACGUGUAAAGGACGAAUUUUUAAAAGUUCCAAACACUCAUGAGGAAUGGACAGAAAUAGCGGAACGUUUUUACCAGCGAUGGAAUUUCCCUAAUUGUUGCGGUGCGUUGGAUGGGAAACAUAUAGCGAUUCAGGCGCCUGCGAACUGCGGUUCUGAGUAUUUCAACUACAAGAAAUACAAUAGCAUCGUUUUGAUGGCUAUGGUUGAUGCCGACUAUAAAUUUUUAUUUGUUGAAGUUGGAGCUUAUGGUCGGGAAUCUGAUGGAGGCGUUUUCGCAAGAUGUGCUCUUUCGACGGCACUUGCAGAAAACAGUUUAAAUUUUCCGCCAGCGAAGUCACUUCCACAUGAAAGUGAUGAAAUGCCAUUUGCCAUUGUAGCUGACGACGCUUUUCCUUUAAAAACAUACGUAAUGAAACCAUUCAGCUUCCGCAAUCAAGUGAUGUCGUACAAAAUAUUUAAUUAUAGGCUAUCCAGAGCAAGAAAUGUGGUGGAAAAUGUGUUUGGCAUUUGUGCAUCGCGUUUUCGGAUCAUCAGAAGACCAAUGGACGUUACUCCCGAACAUGCGACAAUUAUUGUCCUCGCGAUUUGUGUAUUACAUAAUUACCUAUUAAUACGCAAGUCUAUAUAUAUACGAAUGUCUGACGUAGACAAAGACACAAAUGGCAUUAUCGAUCCAGGUAAUUGGCGAAUGGAGUUGGGGGAAAAUGGAAUGCUUCCAUCAGUUCGGCCAAGCAGUGUUUUAGGUAGACCAGCAGACAGCGCGAUAAAUGUCCGUGAAAGAUUUAUGGAGUAUUUCAUGACUCCUCAUGGAGAGGUUGAAUGGCAAUAUAAUAGGACAAUAUUGCAUAACUCUUCUUUGUAGUUUACUCCUAUCUUUCUCAUUUAUAAAUGUGUAAUUCUAUAAUUUAACUUAUUUUGUAAAUACAAAAUAUUUUCAUUAUACCUAUUUUAAAA